rnacentral:siRNA from 1 species
AUGUGCUGGAGGAGCUGAUGUACA